UGCGAAUGGCUCAUUAAAUCAGUUAUCGUUUAUUUGAUAGUACCUUACUACUUGGAUAACCGUGGUAAUUCUAGAGCUAAUACAUGCUAAAAACCCCGACUUCGGAAGGGGUGUAUUUAUUAGAUAAAAAACCAAUGCCCUUCGGGGCUCCUUGGUGAUUCAUAAUAACUUAACGAAUCGCAUGGCCUUGUGCCGGCGAUGGUUCAUUCAAAUUUCUGCCCUAUCAACUUUCGAUGGUAGGAUAGUGGCCUACCAUGGUUUCAACGGGUAACGGGGAAUUAGGGUUCUAUUCCGGAGAGGGAGCCUGAGAAACGGCUACCACAUCCAAGGAAGGCAGCAGGCGCGCAAAUUACCCAAUCCCGACACGGGGAGGUAGUGACAAUAAAUACUGAUACAGGGCUCUUUUGGGUCUUGUAAUUGGAAUGAGUACAAUUUAAAUCCCUUAACGAGGAACAAUUGGAGGGCAAGUCUGGUGCCAGCAGCCGCGGUAAUUCCAGCUCCAAUAGCGUAUAUUAAAGUUGUUGCAGUUAAAAAGCUCGUAGUUGAACCUUGGGCCUGGCUGGCCGGUCCGCCUCACCGCGUGCACUGGUCCGGCCGGGUCUUUCCUUCUGGGGAGCCGCAUGCCCUUCACUGGGUGUGUCGGGGAACCAGGACUUUUACUUUGAAAAAAUUAGAGUGUUCAAAGCAGGCCUAUGCUCGAAUACAUUAGCAUGGAAUAAUAGAAUAGGACGUGUGGUUCUAUUUUGUUGGUUUCUAGGACCGCCGUAAUGAUUAAUAGGGAUAGUCGGGGGCAUCAGUAUUCAAUUGUCAGAGGUGAAAUUCUUGGAUUUAUUGAAGACUAACUACUGCGAAAGCAUUUGCCAAGGAUGUUUUCAUUAAUCAGUGAACGAAAGUUAGGGGAUCGAAGACGAUCAGAUACCGUCGUAGUCUUAACCAUAAACUAUGCCGACUAGGGAUCGGGCGAUGUUAUCUUUUUGACUCGCUCGGCACCUUACGAG
rnacentral:rRNA from 1 species